GUUUCUGCAGGGUGUGGUCCCUGAAAAUGGGAGCUGCUCCAGGGAGGACGGGGCCUCAGGGAAGAGCCCUCACCUCUGAGCUAGGAAGGAAACAGAGGCCGGAAGCAGGAAGGCCUGGCUGCUGCUGUGCCUGCCACUGCUGCAGCCGGUGUCCUGGGAUGACCGUGGGUGGCUGUGGACAGGCUGCAGCCUCUUUGGCUAUCUCUGACCUCUUUAGGAACAGUUCGUAGAAUCCCCAGGAAAACACAGUUCUGAGCAUGCACUGGCACACACCCGGAGUUUCCUGUGUUUGGAACUCUAGAGGUAAUUUUCCGAUGCCAAAGGAGAAAGCACCGAAGCCCACUUGGACUGGCACCGCACCUCUACCCUCGGAGGCUAGCGACCUCCCACAUCUUCUUUGACCCCAGUUUCUGCUUCUUUAAAAUGGAUCCAGGCAGCAUCCCCUCUCCAGGAUGAUGAGGGUGACUGGACUUGCAGAUGGGUGGAGGAGUCAGGGCAGUUCACAGUCAUUUGACCAUCUCCCACCUGGAGAGUCUGUGGGUGAAGAAUGGACUGAGUGGUAUUUCAUUGCAAGUCAUCAACCUCACUCCAGCCAGCUUGGUGAUUUUUACCAGAGACUUGAAUGAAGACACAAAAGAUGUGUCUAGCCAAACCUCAGAAGCAUAUAAUGUUUUGACAUAGCUGAUUUAUGAUCCAAAACUCUCUUCCCAGGUGGAAUUGCUAGCCCA
rnacentral:lncRNA from 1 species